AGCCUACGGGGCGCAGCAGUGAGGAAUAUUGGUCAAUGGCCGAGAGGCUGAACCAGCCAAGUCGCGUGAGGGAAGACGGCCCUACGGGUUGUAAACCUCUUUUGUCGGGGAGCAAAGCGAACCACGUGUGGUUCAUUGAGAGUACCCGAAGAAAAAGCAUCGGCUAACUCCGUGCCAGCAGCCGCGGUAAUACGUAGGGGGCAAGCGUUAUCCGGAUUUACUGGGUGUAAAGGGAGCGUAGACGGUGCAGCAAGUCUGAUGUGAAAGGUCGGGGCCCAACCCCGGGACUGCAUUGGAAACUGUUG
rnacentral:rRNA from 1 species